ACCGAACCGAGAGAGGGAGAAAAAAAGAAGACUAAGAGUACAAGCACAUAUAAACGUAUGCAAAUAAUUAGCAAAACAGAUGAUAGACUGCCUCAACUAUGUGCUUAUCAUCUUACAGUUAGGGAUGCAAGCGGCGCGGGCUUUGCCACAAACCCGCUGGCCUGACCUGCGCCGCAUACCCACAUAGCGCGCAAAUCAGCCCGCAUAGCUGAAGAGGCUCCACGCGGGCCAACCAAUGGGGCCCAGCGGCGCCGCAGAGCCCGCAAAGAAUGGGAUCAGGGGAGAGGAGAGGUUCCGAGGGUGAGAGAGAGAGAGAGAGGAGGCGGAGGCGGCGGCGCCGUCUGUGCGCUGCUGUCCGUUGUCCGCUCUGAGCGCUACCGUCCAUGAGGUGUUGUCCGCUCAACGACCACUCGCCAGCAGAUCCAUUGCUGUCUCGCAGCGACCACGCUCCCUUCGUCGCCUUCGAUCUCAUCGACACUCCAUCAGUUGCUCCCUCUUGCCGGCAGCCUCGCCGACGUCUGCCAGCACGCGUGAUGUCGGACCGCGCAUGGUUGCGGGCUCCUCUGUUGCCGCGAGGCAUACUCCUACCUUCGUUGCGGAAGGCCGCCCCCUCCCAGAUAAUUUCUCCACUCUAGUCCAUGAUUAGUUUACUAGUUUGUUGCUGUUUUCUUGAUUCGUACAGCAGCAUCGGAAAGUGACUAGUUUGCGUGCACGCCAGCUCUUUAGGAGUGUUUCCGUUGAUUAGGAUUUUGUAAUUAGAACUAGAAUUUUCAAAUGUAUUUUUGCUCUGCUAUUGCUACUGUCCUGAGUCCAUGUUUCUGAAAUCCUGCAUGAUCACAAGUUGACGACUAAUUGGAUAUGGCUGUUUGGUUCCUGGACCUCGACUGAAAUGCAGCAGUCUAAUUGUGAUAUUCUAUCUCUCCUACAAUUUGAUGUAGUGAUAUGACCGAAUCAGGAUGAAUCUUACUAACUUUACCUAAAUUAGGCUGAAUCAGGCUGAUUCUAAAUUUCUGCAGUUCCAAUAAACUUUUGCCUUCUUUCCUUGGACCAGUUCGUACCUCUGUUUUCUUCAUUUAACUCUCCUUCAAAGAGCUUUGUUUGGUUCCUGAGCCUGACUGAAUCUUAUUAUCUUGUGCUUUUACUGUAUGUAGAGGAACAUCAUCAGGGCUAUUAAAAGCGCAGAAGUUGAAGCAACUCCUAUGAGCCUAUGGCCAAAAACCUCUCGAAGGUCUUUAAGAAAAGCUUUAGUGUUGCAAGCCAGUAGCAGCCUUAGUUGCAUUUCCUUUUUUCAUAAUCUGUGAGGUAUUAAUUCUUUUUUCAUAUUCAGUUGCAACAUAUAAGGAAAGAUGUUGUUUGAUGAAUUAGAGAUUACACAGCUACUUUCGGAAUGAUAUUUUUUUUGAGACUGCAGAAAGGUAUUUGAUGUCACUAAAGAGGGAUCGAGGGGAUUAUCAUCUUACUGUCGUGUUGCUUGACUGUUGCUUAUGAUUUGAUACGGCAGUUUAGGAGCAUAUUUUAUUUAACACUGCAAAAUUGUGUUUAGCAAUGUUACCCAGUUGUUCAGAAGUCUCUCUUUGUAUUAUGUUUAUUUAUAAUUUAUUGUAAUCAGUAAAUACAAAUUUGUGAUUGGCAUUA